GAUGAACGCUGGCGGCGUGCCUAAUACAUGCAAGUCGAGCGAACGGACGAGAAGCUUGCGUCUCUGAGGUUAGCGGCUGACGGGUGAGUAAGACGUGGAUAACCUACCUAUAAGACUGGGAUAACUUCGGGAAACCGGAUCUAAUACCGGAUAAUAUUUUGAACCGCAGGGUUCAAAAGUGAAAGACGGUCUUGCUGUCACUUAUAGAUGGAUCCGCGUUGCAUUAGCUAGUUGGUAAGGUAACGGCUUACCAAGGCAACGAUGCAUAGCCGACCUGAGAGGGUGAUCAGCCACACUGGAACUGAGACACGGUCCAGACUCCUACGGGAGGCAGCAGUAGGGAAUCUUCCGCAAUGGGCGAAAGCCUGACCGAGCCAUGCCGCGUGAGUGAUGAAGGUCUUCGGAUCGUAAAACUCUGUUAUUAGGAAAGAACAUCUGUGUAAGUAACCGUGCACAUCUUGACGGUACCUAAUCAGAAAGCCCCGGCUAACUUCGUG
rnacentral:rRNA from 1 species